CUACGGGGUGCAGCAGUGAGGAAUAUUGCGCAAUGAGCGAAAGCUAGACGCAGCAACGCCGCGUGAGCGAAGAAGGCCUUCGGGUUGUAAAGCUCUUUUCUGUGUGAAGAGAAGGACGGUAGCACAGGAAUAAGUGUCGGCUAACUACGUGCCAGCAGCCGCGGUAAAACGUAGGACGCAAGCGUUAUCCGGAUUUACUGGGCGUAAAGCGCGUGCAGGCGGUCAGUUAAGUUAUGCGUGCAAGCUCCCGGCUCAACCGGGAGAGGUCGUAUAAAACUGAUUGACUUGAAGGCAGCAGAGGCGUGUGGAAUUCCAGGUGUAGUGGUGAAAUGCGUAGAUAUCUGGAAGAACACCAGUGGCGAAGGCGACACGCUGGGCUGUACUUGACGCUAAGACGCGAAAGCGUGGGUAGCGAACGGGAUUAGAUACCCGCGUAGUC
rnacentral:rRNA from 1 species